UGAGCCGAGGGCGGGCGUUGACGUGCCCCCGGUAGAAGCAGUGCUUCACAUCGGCGUCGGCCGCCUCGGCGUAGAGGCGCCGUUGGUCUGCGGCGGGCUCUCCCAGGAGGCUGACGGUGAAGAGCGGGGCGAUGAAGGCCGAGCUGGCCGUCAGGUUGAAGAGGAACUGCUGCCCGAAGGCGGACAGCCUGUAGUGUGCCUUCGGGGAGCCGGCGGCGGCCGCCGUCCAGGCGUCGGGGGCAGCACUGGUGCUCCGCCGGCGCCGCCUGAAGUGGACAUCGGUGGGGAAGGGCUCACCGAACUCAUUCACUCGGGCAGCUUGAAGAAGUGGACCAGCAGUUGAAGAAUCCCCUGUGUAGCACUUCUCCAUAGCAGUUGUUUUCUUAUGCAUUUCUCAGAUAAGAGGCAAUUCAAGCAACUUUUGUUCAGGAUGAGAUUUGUGUUGUGCACUUUUCAGGCACCCUGAGGGAAAAGGAAGAUUAUAUCCAAAACUGAGUUUAUUUUGUUUUGUUUUACAGUUUGAAAGGUCUCUAAAAAUUUAAUUAUAUGUAGUUCUAAAGCAUGUCUUAAGUGUUGUCUUCUACCCCUUCCUCAAAUCAAAACCCUCAGCCUUGGUUUAAAAGGUUUUUAAACCUUUAAAACCCAUAAGCAAGGCAAAAAAAUUUUGGAAGUUCAGUUUGCACUUCCACAGAAAAUGUCAAAGUUCUUUACAUUCUUUGCUCAACUUUGGGACAAGGCACAGAAAUGUUGGUAUUUGCUGCAGAAAGGGAAAUUUUUAAAAUAAAAAUCAAUUCAGAAUCCA